rnacentral:rRNA from 1 species
AGCGAACGCUGGCGGCAGGCCUAACACAUGCAAGUCGAACGGUCCUUCGGGACAGUGGCGGACGGGUGAGUAACGCGUGGGAGCGUGCCCUUAGGUACGGAACAACUCAGGGACACUUGAGCUAAUACCGUAUGUGCCCUACGGGGGAAAGAUUUAUCGCCUUUGGAGCGGCCCGCGUCUGAUUAGCUAGUUGGUGAGGUAAUGGCUCACCAAGGCGACGAUCAGUAGCUGGGCUGAGAGGAUGAUCAGCCACACUGGGACUGAGACACGGCCCAGACUCCUACGGGAGGCAGCAGUGGGGAAUCUUGCGCAAUGGGGGAAACCCUGACGCAGCCAUGCCGCGUGAAUGAUGAAGGUCUUAGGAUUGUAAAAUUCUUUCACCGGGGAAGAUAAUGACGGUACCCGGAGAAGAAGCUCCGGCUAACUUCGUGCCAGCAGCCGCGGUAACAC